rnacentral:rRNA from 1 species
CCUACGGGAGGCAGCAGUGAGGAAUAUUGCUCAAUGGAGGCAAGCCUGAAGCAGCAACGCAGCGUGGAGGAUGACGGUUUUCGGAUUGUAAACUCGUUUUGUUAGAGAAGAUAAUGACGGUAUCUGACGCAUAAGCACCAGCUAACUCCGGGCCAGCAGCCGCGGUAAUACGGAGGGUGCAAGCGUUACUCGGAAUCACUGGGCGUAAAGAGCGCGUAGGCGGGAUAGCAAGUCAGAUGUGAAAUCCUACGGCUUAACCAUAGAAUUGCAUUUGAAACUGUGAGUCUAGAGUAUGGGAGAGGUAGGCGGAAUUCUUGGUGUAGGGGUAAAAUCCGUAGAGAUCAAGAGGAACACUCAUCGCGAAGGCGA